CGCAUCUGUGCAUGCAGCAUAUCAAUAAGCGGAGGAAAAGAAACUAACAAGGAUUCCCUUAGUAACGGCGAGUGAAGCGGGAAGAGCUCAAAUUUGAAAUCUUCAAGGCUUUACCUUGACGAAUUGUAGUUUAAAGAAGUGUUUCCUGUUGAAGUUUUGGUAAAAGUUCUUUGGAAUAGGACAUCAUAGAGGGUGAGAAUCCCGUAUUUGACCAUUAUUUUCAGCUGUGUGAUACACUUUCAAAGAGUCGGAUUGUUUGGGAAUGCAGUCCAAAAUGGGUGGUAAAUUUCAUCUAAAGCUAAAUAUUGGCGAGAGACCGAUAGCGAACAAGUACCGUGAGGGAAAGAUGAAAAGAACUUUGAAAAGAGAGUUAAACAGUACGUGAAAUUGUCAAAAGGGAAGCGUUUGACACCAGUGUUGUUUUCUCGAAAAUCAAUUAAAAAGAGUUAGAUUUUGUUGUGUAUUGACCUUAACAGCUUGCAUUUCAAUUUUCUUGCUUUUUUUAAUGCACUUUUCGUUUAACAAGUCAACAUCAGUUUCUUUUGUUGUAAAAAGGUCAUUGGAAGGUGGCUUUCUUUUCGGAGAAAGUGUUUAUAGCCUUUGACUCCUGCAAUCGGAGAGACUGAGGUCUGCAGCGUAGAUCCUUCGGGGUUAGAUACAUUUGUGCUAAGUUAUAGCUUUUUAUAGACAACUUGUUGACUAUGAUUAGUCUUGUAGCUUACUCGCUUAUGCUAUUUUACCUACGCUUAGGAUGUUGACGCGCGUGUGUGCGUG
rnacentral:rRNA from 1 species